rnacentral:rRNA from 1 species
CGCACGUGCUGUUCUUAUCAGUGGAGAACCAUCUGCUCAUCACCAGAGCUCAUGAUGCAGACCUGUUCGUCGACAGAGUGAGAGACUACUACGUAGAGCAGAUAUUAGCAGUAUCCGGAAGAACACCAGUGGGGGAGGCGCUCACUCGGGCAGUACUGUCUAUGGAGCACGGAAGCGUGAGGAGCAAACAGGUUUAGAUUCCCUGGUAGUCCACACCAUAAACGAGGAUGCCAGCCGUUUGGUGGGUUUACUCACUAGUGGCGCAGCUAACGCUUUAAGCAUUCCGCCGGGGGAGUACGGUCGCAAGAUUAAAACUCAAAGGAAGUGACGGGGGCCCGCACAAGCGGCGGAGCAUGUGGUUUAAUUCGACGCAACGCGCAGAACCUUACCAGCCCUUGACAUGUCCAGGACCGGUCGCAGAGAUGUGACCUUCUCUUCGGAGCCUGGAACACAGGUGCUGCAUGGCUGUCGUCAGCUCGUGUCGUGAGAUGUUGGGUUAAGUCCCGCAACGAGCGCAACCCCCGUCCUUAGUUGCUACCAUUUAGUUGAGCACUCUAAGGAGACUGCCGGUGAUAAGCCGCGAGGAAGGUGGGGAUGACGUCAAGUCCUCAUGGCCCUUACGGGCUGGGCUACACACGUGCUACAAUGGCGGUGACAAUGGGAUGCUAAGGGGCGACCCUUCGCAAAUCUCAAAAAGCCGUCUCAGUUCGGAUUGGGCUCUGCAACUCGAGCCCAUGAAGUUGGAAUCGCUAGUAAUCGUGGAUCAGCACGCCACGGUGAAUACGUUCCCGGUCCUUGCCCUCACCGCCCGUC